rnacentral:rRNA from 1 species
CCUACGGGAGGCAGCAGUGAGGAAUAUUGGUCAAUGGACGCGAGUCUGAACCAGCCAAGCCGCGUGAAGGAUGACUGCCCUAUGGGUUGUAAACUUCUUUUAUAUGGGAAUAAAAUGUUCCACGUGUGUGAUUUUGUAUGUAUCAUACGAAUAAGGAUCGGCUAACUCCGUGCCAGCAGCCGCGGUAAUACGGAGGAUCCGAGCGUUAUCCGGAUUUAUUGGGUUUAAAGGGAGCGUAGGUGGAUUGUUAAGUCAGUUGUGAAAGUUUGCGGCUCAACCGUAGAAUUGCAGUUGAAACUGGCAGUCUUGAGUACAGUAGAGGUGGGCGGAAUGCGUGGUGUAGCGGUGAAAUGCUUAGAGAUCACGAAGAACACCGAUUGCGAAGGCAGCUCACUGGACUGCAACUGACGCUGAGGCUCGAAAGUGUGGGUAGCAAACAGGAUUAGAUACCCCGGUAGUC